rnacentral:lncRNA from 1 species
CUCAAUAAUUGUGUGUGUGUGCAUGUGUGCAUGUGUACGUGUGAGUGCCUGUGUGUGUGCAUUGUGUGUAGGGGCUGGGGCUGGAGUCGACAACAGAUCAGAGCACAGGAGUAGAGCGCUUCUGGGAGGGUGGGGCCACCCGUGAGUCACGUCCUGCACCCUGGAGCCCAGAGGACCCUUCGCUCAAACCCACCACCAGCUGGCAACACCGGACCAGACCAGCCGGAGCCGCUUUCUUCGCUGCGCAGAGGAGCCUGGGAGAAGCCAGAGGUGCUUGAGGAUGGAUUCUUGGCUCCUGGUGCAUUGCCACUCCCUGCCACCCUCCUCCUUGUCUUCUAUCUUCUCCUGGUGGCGUCAGGCCUUGCUUCGUGUCCCAACAGGAGCCUCUGGGGCUGGCACAGCCCUCACUGCCUACAACCUGGGCCUGGUGGUUCUCCUAGGGUGCCUCUGGGAGGUCAUGGUCACCCCGCUGCUGGCUAACUGCAGCUACUUCUGCCAGCCAGUGGACUACAGAUGGAGAAAGCAUGGAAUGAGGGUAUGGCAGGGAGCAGGAAGCAAGCCUGGAGAGGGUUAGGAGGAACAACUUCAUAACAAUCGGAGGUCAAGGAGGCAUCUUCCUGGAGACAGGAAGGUAGGCACUGUGGAAUCAGCGGUGCGUAGAACAGUGAGGAUUUGGGGCUGAACCCAGCCCAGGUGGGCCAAGCCGUGGCACCAGCCGGACUGCAGUCUGAUGGAACUUCCCCUUCCUGCCCAGCAGAUGGCGAGCGUGUGCUGCUGGUGCCUCUUUCCAAAGGACGUUGAAUUGCUUGACAGGUGUUCUUUACUUUAUGAAUGAAGCCAGAGCAGCCCACCUUCCUGCAUCUCUACCACCAUGGCACCAUGCCCUGUGAUGGGUGGGCUGGAGUCAAAUAUGUAGCAGGCAGCCAGGGUCAGUUUGUGGCCACUGCUGCCCCCUCUUCCUACAGUCUCCUCACUGAGUGCCCCUUCCCUGUUGGGUUCAACACAUCUGUGCUCCUGUAAGCCCUCAGCCUCCUCGUUCUCUUCCUCAACUUCUACCACCAGACACAUCUGAGAAGCAAGCAAGAGAGGCUGAACUAGGAGCAGGACCCAGGGACUGAAACCAGCACAGCAUCCCCACAGAGAAUUGGGUGGAAGGCAGCAUGGCUUCCAGCUUACUGGUGCUGAGCAGAUUGCUCUGGGUCUCCAUUGUAUCCUCUGAAGGAAGGAGGAGGAUUGCCUUCUGUCCAGAUCUCAGGAUCAAACAAAUAGGUCCAAUUUCCUGUGCUCACUUCAGUUAGAGCACUUCUCAUGUGACUUUGUAGCUUUGUGUGCAUCUCCUUCCUCUACUAGACCUAAGCCCCUCACGGGAGGGACUCUCUUAUUCUUGA